AAUCAACGCUGGCGGCGUGCCUCAGACAUGCAAGUCGAACGCGAAAAGUUCCCUUCGGGGGAGUGAGUAGAGUGGCGCACGGGUGAGUAACACGUAGGUAAUCUACCUUUGGUAUGGGGAAGUAACAACCGGAAACGGUUGCUAAUACCGCAUAAUGCAGCGGCACCUAAUGGUGACAGUUGUUAAAGACGGGGGAGUCGAAAGACCUCGCGUCUGAAGAGGAGCCUGCGGCGGAUUAGCUAGUUGGUAAGGUGACGGCUUACCAAGGCGACGAUCCGUAGCCGGCCUGAGAGGGCGGUCGGCCACACUGACACUGACAUACGGGUCAGACUCCUACGGGAGGCAGCAGUCGGGAA
rnacentral:rRNA from 1 species